GACGAACGCUGGCGGCGUGCUUAACACAUGCAAGUCGAACGAAGAGCGAUGGAAGCUUGCUUCUAUCAAUCUUAGUGGCGAACGGGUGAGUAACGCGUAAUCAACCUGCCCUUCAGAGGGGGACAACAGUUGGAAACGACUGCUAAUACCGCAUACGAUCUAAUCUCGGCAUCGAGGAUAGAUGAAAGGUGGCCUCUACAUGUAAGCUAUCACUGAAGGAGGGGAUUGCGUCUGAUUAGCUAGUUGGAGGGGUAACGGCCCACCAAGGCGAUGAUCAGUAGCCGGUCUGAGAGGAUGAACGGCCACAUUGGGACUGAGACACGGCCCAGACUCCUACGGGAGGCAGCAGUGGGGAAUCUUCCGCAAUGGACGAAAGUCUGACGGAGCAACGCCGCGUGAGCGAUGACGGCCUUCGGGUUGUAAAGCUCUGUUAAUCGGGACGAAAGGCCUUCUUGCGAAUAGUGAGAAGGAUUGACGGUACCGGAAUAGAAAGCCACGGCUAACUACGUGC
rnacentral:rRNA from 1 species